UACGGGGGGGCAAGCGUUGUUCGGAAUUACUGGCGUAAAGGGCUCGUAGGCGGCCAACUAAGUCCGACGUGAAAUCCCAAGGCUUAACCUUGGAACUGCGUCGGAUACUGGAUGGCUUGAAUUCGGGAGAGGAUGCAGAAUUCCAGGUGUAGCGGUGAAAUGCGUAGAUAUCUGGAGGAAUACCGGUGGCGAAGGCGGCAUCCUGGACCGACAUUGACGCUGAUGAGCGAAAGCUAGGGGAGCAAACGGGG
rnacentral:rRNA from 1 species